CUUGAUAAAUAAUAAACCUAAAACUUUCAACAACGGAUCUCUUGGUUCUGGCAUCGAUGAAGAACGCAGCGAAAUGCGAUAAGUAAUGCGAAUUGCAGAAUUCCGUGAGUCAUCGAAUCUUUGAACGCACAUUGCGCCCUUUGGUAUUCCAAAGGGCAUGCC
rnacentral:rRNA from 1 species